GAAAAAUUAUUUUUAAAAUACAAUAAUUAAUUUUUUUUUAACAGAAAAUAAAAUUUUUCUAAGUUUGUUUUUAAAAGCGGGGAAAAUGGGCCAGUAUUUUUUUUUUAAUUGGUGACCAAUUGUUCUCACAUCAAUUUGGUCCUUUAUGGUAUAUAUACAAGUAAAAUGACACAUGUUGCCUCUUGAAAUUUAUUUAUAAACAUUUUAAGUUCCUUUGUCUCCUGCUAUAUAUUUAAAAAGUUGCUAGAGGCCAUUGAAGACGCAACAGGCCUCCUCUAACAAACUUGCCGGAGAAUCUACUUGGAUUCUAGUGGCCUCGUGUGUAGUGUCAUACAUGCCAAGUACUACUUAGACAGUCUAGGAAAAGUCUAACGAUCCAGAGUUGAGAUUUUCUGGGUCUUUUCGACUCUUACAUUAAUAUUAUGUACAGAGUAUAUUUAACGACUGAUAAAUGAGGGAUGGCCUGCGGUUACCACUAGUGGUUGUUGAGAACGAGCGGGAGU